UCUCCCCAAGCACUUUAAUCCCUACUCUGUUCCUCUUUCUAUGGUGUGAGAGCUACAUCUCUCAGCACGUCCAGAGAACCUUCUUGCCCUUUCUUCAGCACAAUCAACAUGGAAGAAAGCAAUACAAAUUUUAGACAAAUUUGGGCAGCAACCCACACAGCUAGCAAAACGACAUGGGAACAAUAAGAAACUAUUUAAACAGUCACUAGGAAGUUAAAACAAAUUAAAUUAAACUUUAAAGGGGGGGGGGGGGGGGGGAAGAAGGGAGAGGGAAAAAGCAACAACAACAACAAAACACAACUAAAAGAAACAAACAAAAACCAACCCAAGAGCUAAAUAAAGCAUGGAGAAAGAAGGAAGGAAGCCAACAUUUGGGAAGCAUAUUAAGUUAGCUUGUUUGGGUGAGGCUGCACGGCAACAGACUCAGCUUUGCUCCUGAGUUCUGUGAAAAACAGGAUUGUAACAACCACAUACCUGCCAAGUCCUGCACAGAUAACAGAUGUUAGGGACACUCCUUUACUCAAAGUGGAGCCAAGAUCCAAGAUCUGUUGAAAGAAGGAAGAGAAAGAACCACUUCAGUCUGAAUUGUGCAAGGAAGAGGACAAGGAGUUUAAAAAGGGGCCCCAAGGAGAGAAAGGGGUUUAAGGAGAAGGGAAGAGCUAAACAAGAGCACACUCAAGUGAAAACCUGGAAAUUUAACCAGAAUUUUUGUGUCUCUGUAAAGCAGUAAGUAUCUGAAAAGUGCAGGGGCUUCCAAACCUUGAUAUCCUGGCAGGUUAUCUAUUAGCCUUAAAUGUCAGAAGCACAAAAUUGCAUGUUGGCUGGUGGUGUGGUAACACUCCUGCUGCUGUGGUUCACCUUCAUAGAAGAUAACCCUGUUACUGCCAAUUUGUUAGGUCUGUGGUCUGGUCCUCAAGGUCACUGCAUGACUCAAUUCUUGUUGAAAGAAGAGAUUAGUAUUCUAUGUCACACCCUACACUUUGCAUGAUAUACUCCUUACUUUAUCUGCUUUUACCAUUUUUUUUUUUUUCCUGCAUAUGUGAGCAGAUUAAUGUGCAGAUGUGCAGAGAUGAGCUUGCAGUAAACGUCCCAUGAAAAAUCUAAUUUUUGCAUCCUCAGGGCAUGCUUUUAUUUAUUUAUUUAAACAAAUAAUCUCUGAAGUCUGUAGAAGACAUACAUAAGUAUGUGCUGUGGUGUAACCUGCGAGGCUGUUUACUGAAAUAUAACUCUUCAUUUAUUGUUUUGACAAAGUUAGGUGAUUGUCAUGAAAAACUACAUUGACCUUUCUCUGAGUGCUAACUCAUGGGUUUGCAUGUAUUUCCUGUGAUGAAAGUAGAAAAAGACGUUGACCCAUGAUGUUUUCUGAAGCUUUGAAGUUGGUCUUAGUGUAUUACUAGUCGUAGCUGAAGUUCAAAGAAUAGGUGGGAUGCUGUUUGAGAUUCUUAUGUGCUAUAGUUUUGUCUUUAAGUUUU
rnacentral:lncRNA from 1 species